AGCCGGGAGCGAGCCCGAGUGAGGUGCUCGGCGGAAGUCCUCGGAGUCGGUCCCGAACCCGCGGGAGGGAGUCAGCCGCACUUUGCGUACUCUGCACCGGGAAGGGGAGUGUUUUGUUUUCUCUGUGAUUGCAGUUGAGCGAAUGACGUACCUGCUGGAACUGUAGUCAGGCUACUUCGGUAAUAUAAACACACAAAACUUUACAGAGAAGUGCGUUUUUUGUUUGUUUUGUUUUUCGAGACGGGGUAUCUCUGUGUAGCUUUGGAGCCUGUCCUGGCACUCGAUCUGGAGACCAGGCUGGCCUCGAACUCACAGAGAUCCGCCUGCCUCUGCCUCCCGAGUGCUGGGAUUAAAGGUGUGCGCCGCCAACGCCCGGCUAGAGAACUGUUUUUGAGAUAGGGUGGUGUCACGAUUGUGACAAAGGAAAUGGCCCUCGUUCAGUAAGCGGGAAUGCCCGAGACGUUAUCUUUCAGUUUUGCAGAAAGCUGGGUGUCACCCUGACACAAGGCGAAAUGGUUGCUGUGGCCUACUCGACAUUUUGUUUCUCGGUUCUUGUUGGUUUUAAUUCCCUAGUUGCACGUCUCUCCCCCCUUUGGUUUUCAGCGGCUGAAUCCUUUAGGGACAUAAAAGUCUUCCCCAAUUCUAAUACUGCCCCCUCCCCAGAUGCCUCAAGCUUCUGUUUCAAGACACAAAACAUCCAGAGAACGUCCUGGUGCCCAUCAUUGCCUCUUGUGAUUUGUGAGCCCAUUCAGGUGACCGACUGUAACUUUUCAACCCCAGGAUCACCCGAAAGGGCCUAGACGCGCAGCCAGCUGCCAGAUCUCCUUUAAGAUUUGUUGAGCUAGAGGGGCUGCAGAGAGCGAGCCGUAGGAGGUGAAAAGCACUGGCUGCAGAGGACCCAAGUUCUCAGUUCCCGUCACCCACAUGACAGCUUGCAGCCCCCUGACUCCAGUGCCAGAGCAUCUGAUAAUCUCUUCUGGUCUCCGAGGGCACCAUGAACACAUAUGCACAAAUACAUGGAGAUUCCCUCCCCUGGACACAUGAAAUGUUGUAUUUCUGGGGGCUACUACAAGAAAGAGCCGGGCGUUUGUGGCACACUCCUUUAUUCCCAGCACUUGGGAGGCAGAGGCAGAGGGAUCUCUGAGUUCCAGACCAGCCUGGUCUAUAAGAGCGAGUUCCAGAACAGCCUCCAAAUGCCACAGCAGAACCCUGU